rnacentral:rRNA from 1 species
GGCUGAUAAAAGGGCAGCGAAAGAGCGAUCUGAAGCGAAACUCACAAAACCUGUCCCAGUUCGGAUUGUACUCUGCAACUCGAGUACAUGAAGUUGGAGUUGCUAGUAAUCGCGAAUCAAAAUGUCGCGGUGAAUGCGUUCCCGGGUCUUGUACACACCGCCCGUCACACCAUGGGAGUUGGCAAUACCCGAAGCCUGUGAUCUAACCACUUGGACGCAGCCGUCCAAGGUAGGGUUAAUAACUGGGGUGAAAUCGUAACAAGGUAACCGUAUCCGAA